rnacentral:rRNA from 1 species
AGUCUGGUGCCAGCAGCCGCGGUAAUUCCAGCUCCAAUAGCUUAUAUUAAAGUUGUUGCAGUUAAAAAGCUCGUAGUUGAAUCUCUCGUUGCGGCCGGAUCAGGGGUGGUUUACUCCAUGCUUGGUUCGGCACGCAGCGUUUUUGUGGAGGUAGCCUGUUUGAACUUCAUUGAUCGAGCAGGCGAGACCACUCAGUUACUGUGAGCAAAACGGAGUGUUCAAAGCAGGCAAUCGCUUGAACGACUUAGCAUGGAAUAACAAGAUAUGACUGGGUCUGUCUUGUUGGUUUAUAGACCUAGUAAUGGUUAACAGGAACAGUUGGGGAUGUCUGUAUUUCCUAGUCAGAGGUGAAAUUCUUGGAUUUAGGGAAGACAAACGACUGCGAAAGCAUUCAUCAAGGAUGUUUUCAUUAAUCAAGAACGAAAGUUUGGGGAUCGAAGAUGAUUAGAUACCAUCGUAGUCCAAACCAUAAACGAUGCCGGCUCGGGAUCCCCAGUCGUUGAUCACGACUCUGGGGGCACCGUAUGAGAAAUCAAAGCCUUUGGGUUCCGGGGGGAGUAUGAUCGCAAGAUUGAAACUUAAAGGAAUUGACGGAAGGGCACACCAGAGGUGAGCCUGCGGUUUAAUUUGACCCAACACGGGGAAACUUACCAGGUCCAGACAUAGCGAGGAUUGACAGUUUGAAAGCACUUUCUUGAUUCUAUGGGUGGUGGUGCAUGGCCGUUCUUAGUUGGUGGAGUGAUUUGUCUGGUUGAUUCCGAUAACGAACGAGACCCGCGCACUUAAAUAGCAGGGCGAUUCUCACGAAUUGCUUGUGCUUCUUAUGUGGACAACUCUUGCUUAAAGAGGGGAAGCGGCGGGCAAUAACAGGUCUGUGAUGCCCUUAGAUGUUCUGGGCGACACGCGCGCUACAAUGAUUGGCUCAACGGGUACUUCCUUGCCCGGAAGGGCAUGGGUAAUCCUUUAAAUACCAAUCGUGAUGGGGCUAGAUGCUUGCAAUUAUUCAUCUUCAACGAGGAAUCUCUAGUAUGUGCGUUUCAUCAGAGCGCGCAGAAUGCGUCCCUGCCCUUUGUACACACCGCCCGUCGCAGCUACCGAUUGAGUGGUCCGGCAAGAUCUCAGGAGGCGCUUGGUGGUGAACUCUCGGGUUUGUCGCCAGAU